UAACGCGUGAGGAACCUACCUCUCAGAGGGGGACAACAGUUGGAAACGACUGCUAAUACCGCAUAAUAUAUCUGUAUCGCAUGGUAUGGAUAUCAAAGAUUUAUCGCUGAGAGAUGGCCUCGCGUCUGAUUAGCUAGUUGGUAGGGUAACGGCCUACCAAGGCAACGAUCAGUAGCCGGACUGAGAGGUUGGCCGGCCACAUUGGGACUGAGAUACGGCCCAGACUCCUACGGGAGGCAGCAG
rnacentral:rRNA from 1 species